rnacentral:lncRNA from 1 species
UUCGACAAUGUGGAAAUUAUAAUGGUCUAAUCUCGUGGUUUAUGUUCUAAAAACUGUAAAUACUGUGAUGGAAUAUUUAAAGAACUUGGUGAGAAAAGAAAAUUGUUCAAUUGCCAUUAAUAAAUUUUUAAUAAUUUGUAAUGAAAUGACAACACUCGUUUCAUUAGAAUCCAUUGUGCAUUGUGUUUUCAUGUGAAAAUGGUAAAGGAAGUUUUGACUCUAGUCUUCUUAAAUAUGAAAAAAUUCAUCCAAUAUACCUGUCAUUGCCAACGUACACAGGCAGCCAUAAGAUGUUAUGCAGAUGCACGACCAUUAACUUUAAAGCUAUUCUAUUUUAUCAUCUUUAAACGUAUGAAACGAAGCAGAAAAUUUGGUUACCAGAUAUAGGAACUUUUGAUCCUUCGAAGAAUUUAAAGUUGUGAAUAUUAAUUUAGAUAAAAAUGAUUUGAGCAUAUCAAAAGAACAUUAACAUUAACGUAUUACGUAACAGGAUGAACAAGAUAAAAUAGUAAGCAUUGAUUUCGAUAAUCUAAUUACGGAUGAUGGAGAUACACAUUUCGAGAUGGUACUUUAACAAUUGAAAGUUUAGAUGGAAAUAAAUUAUAUUUAGAUUCAACGACUCAAUUUAGAAUGUGCAAUGAUAGAGAUUGGCAUGGUGAAAUUAGAUAGAAGUUUGAAAAUGAUAAGCGAUAUGUAAUUGAACAAACGAGUCAUAGAAAAAAAUUGAAGAUAAAUUUAUGAGCGAAAAUAAAUAUAAAUCUGAUGAUAUCUUCGUUAAUAGUAUUCCUAUGUAUUUAGAAGCUGUGUAUUGAAAAAAAAAAAAAAUAAAAAGAAGAAAAGAAAAAGGAAAUGCUAUGUAGUACUAGCAAUUUGAAAAAUGAUUUGAUAGGCACGAGGUAAAAGAGAUCAAAAAACUGAAAGAACUGAUUGAAACGAAUGUAUAUGUACAUAUAAACAUAAAUAUGCAUAAACGGGUAAUAUACAGUAAAACUAUCAUGUUUCACUUUACAAACAAAAUAAUAUAAAUUAUUGGAUUAUCUAUAAAAAUUAUA